UACGAAGGGGGGCUAGCGUUGCUCGGAAUUAUUGGGCGUAAAGCGCACGUAGGCGGUUCGUUAAGUCGGAUGUGAAAGCCCUCGGCUCAACUGAGGAAGUGCACCCGAAACUGGCGAGCUUGAGUACGAAAGAGGAUCGCGGAAUUCCCGGUGUAGAGGUGAAAUUCGUAGAUAUCGGGAGGAACACCGGGUGGCGAAGGCGGCGAUCUGGGUCGAUACUGACACUGAGGCGCGAAAGCGUGGGGAGCAAACAGG
rnacentral:rRNA from 1 species